AUGGUGGUGGUUCAGUGGUAGAAUUCUCACCUCUCAUGCUGGAGACUUGGGUUCGAUUCCCAAUCAGUGUA
rnacentral:tRNA from 1 species